rnacentral:rRNA from 1 species
UACAGAGGUCUCAAGCGUUGUUCGGAUUCAUUGGGCGUAAAGGGUGCGUAGGCGGCGCGGUAAGUCGGGGUGUGAAAUCUCGGAGCUUAACUCCGAAACUGCAUUCGAUACUGCCGUGCUUGAGGACUGGAGAGGAGACUGGAAUUUACGGUGAGCGGUGAAAUGCGUAGAUAUCGUAAGGGAAGACCAGUGGCGAAGGCGGGGUCUCUGGACAGUUCCUGACGCUGAGGCACGGAAGGUCAGGGGGAGCAAAACGGGGAU